UUCACGAUAUAUAAGCUAAAUUAAAACCUAAACUAACAGCCUCCUAUCAUUUUUCUAAAAAACUAAAGAACCCUAAUGGUCCUCAACGCCGCUUAGUAACCAGGCCAUUCAAAGGCCUUUAAACCUUCGCCCAACUCCGAUUGCGGCGGAAUGGAAGAAGAUCCGGCCACCAGGUAAACUCUUUAACCGUUUCCCUUUUUUUUAUGCACGAUUAAUAAUAUCAAAACAGAAAAGAAAAAAAGAAACGAAAAGAGAGAAAGAACUAAAAAAGAACACCUUCUUUCAGAAAUUUUUUGAUUUUUUGUCUAUUGAUUCUGCUUCAGUGAAAAGAGAGAAAGAACUAAAAAAGAACACCUUCUUUCAGAAAUUUUUUGAUUUUUUGUCUAUUGAUUCUGCUUCAGUGUUUUUACAUUAGUUUCUCUGUAUCCCUUUUUUUACAAAUUUCUGUUUGGCUUUUAUAUAGCCUAAACAAUCGAAAAAAAAGAAAAAAAUAUCAAAAUCUAUUCUGUUAUUCUCCUUUUUGUUGCGUCCUUUUUUGCUUCUCUGCCCUUUGUUGUUUGUUUGUGUGCAGGUAUGGCUAGCUGUAGGAGAUGCACACGCGUAGAGGCGCAGCAUGCGCGGGGGAGGCCCUGGGUUCGACUGCGGCGCUGCUGGCUGCUGAAGGCUAGGGUUUCGGCGUUUGGGGAACACUUUGGGCUGUGUUGGGUUUGGGUAUUUUGGGCUAGAGUUCGGGUUUAGGUAUUGUAUUGGGUAUUAGAUUAAAAACGAUUUGGGCCAUGUUGGGCCCAUGUAUUUGGACUUUGGACUUUUAAAUGUUUAUUUGGUUUAUUAUUACGGGCCGGAAAAAUAUUGGGCCUUACAAUAUAAAUAAAAUUUUAUAAAAAAAGCGUUACUUAUAUUAAAAUUUUGUAGAAAAAUUAGUCAUAUUUUAUUAUCCAAAUAAAUAUAUUUAAUUAUAAAAAGAAUAUUA
rnacentral:lncRNA from 1 species